rnacentral:rRNA from 1 species
UACGUAGGGUCCGAGCGUUAAUCGGAAUUACUGGGCGUAAAGCGUGCGCAGGCGGUUUUGUAAGCCAGAUGUGAAAGCCCCGGGCUCAACCUGGGAACUGCAUUUGGGACUGCAAGGCUUGAGUACGGCAGAGGGGGGUAGAAUUCCUGGUGGUAGCAGUGAAAUGCGUAGAUAUCAGGAGGAAUACCGAUGGCGAAGGCAGCCCCCUGGGUCGAUACUGACGCUCAUGCACGAAAGCGUGGGGAGCAAACAGG